rnacentral:rRNA from 1 species
GAUGAACGUUGGCGGCGUGCCUAAUACAUGCAAGUCGAACGAAGACUGUAGUAAUACUGUCUUAGUGGCGAACGGGUGAGUAACGCGUGGGUGACCUGCCCCGAAGUGUGGGAUAACAGUUCGAAAGAACUGCUAAUACCGCAUAACAUCCAAGAGAUUAGAAGCUUUUGGAUUAAAGGAGUAAUUCGCUUCGGGAGGGGCCCGCGUCCCAUCAGCUAGUUGGUAAGGUAAUGGCUUACCAAGGCGAUGACGGGUAGGGGACCUGAGAGGGUGGCCCCCCACAAUGGAACUGAAACACGGUCCAUACACCUACGGGUGGCAGCAGUAGGGAAUAUUAGUAAUGGGCGAAAGCCUGAACUAGCAACGCCGCGUGUGCGAAGAAGGCCUUCGGUUGUUAAGACACUUUUGUAGAGGAUGAGGAAGGACGGGUACUCUCAGAAUAAGUACUCGGCUAACUACGUG